rnacentral:rRNA from 1 species
GAUACCCUGGUAGUCCACGCAUGAAACGAUGAAUACUAAUUGUCCGGGACGAAUGAGUCCUGGGUGAUACAGCGAAAGCGUUAAGUAUUCCACCUGGGGAGUACGCCGGCAACGGUGAAACUCAAAGGAAAUUGACGGGGGCCCGCACAAGCAGUGGAUUUAUGUGGUUUAAUUCGAAAGCAACGCGCAAGAACCUUACCCAGGGACUUUGACAUCCAACUAAACGAGAUAGAGAUAUGUUAGGUGCCCUUUCGGGGAAAAGUUGAGACAGGGGGGUGCAUGGGUGUCGUCAGCUCGUGUCGUGAGAUGUUGGGUUAAGUCCCGCAACGAGCGCAACCCCUGCCAUUUAGUUGCUACGCAAGAGCACUCUUAAUGGGGACCGCUAACCGACAAGGUGGGAGGAAGGUGGGGACGACGUCAAAAUCAUCAUGCCCCCUUAUGACUUGGGCUACACACGUGCUACAAUGGCGUAAACAAAGGGGAAGCGAGACCGGGAGGUUAAGCAAAUCCCAAAAAUAACGUCUCAAGUCGGAUUGGAGUCUGCAACUCGACUACAUGAAGCUGGAAUUCGCUAGUAAUCGCAGAAUCAGAAUG